rnacentral:rRNA from 1 species
AUUGAACGCUGGCGGCAGGCCUAACACAUGCAAGUCGAACGAGUGGCGGACGGGUGAGUAAUGUCUGGGAAACUGCCUGAUGGAGGGGGAUAACUACUGGAAACGGUAGCUAAUACCGCAUACCAUCGGAUGUGCCCAGAUGGGAUUAGCUAGUCGGUGGGGUAACGGAUCACCUAGGCGACGAUCCCUAGCUGGCCCGAGAGGAUGACCAGCCACACUGGAACGGAGACACGUGCCAGACUCCUACGGGAGGCAGAAGUGGGGAAUAUUGCACAAUGGGCGCAAGCCUGAUACAGCCAUGCCGCGUGUAUGAAGAAGGCCUUCGGGUUGUAAAGUACUUUCAGCGGGGAGGCGUUACCCGCAGAAGAAGCACCGGCUAACUCCGUGCCAGCAGCCGCGGUAAUAC